rnacentral:lncRNA from 1 species
GCACGUGGUGCUGACUGUAAGGAGGAGACCCACAACUUCUUUAUUUUUCCCUCUGCACGAGUGCUAAGCUAACACACCACAGAAAGUCUGAAUCACAUCUCCUUCCUCAGAAAGUUUCUCUAAUCCAUUUUCUUCCCCAAUUAAUUCAACUUUAUGACCCACAGUGAGGAAAUUCUGUGGUAGCAAACUGAGUAUGCAUCCCUGUUUACAACUUUGCUAGCAAAAUGCUGCAUGGCAGCAACAUGGAAUUCCCAGCACUCCUCUGCCCAAAAAUUACUUUCCACACCUUUUCUUCCAUCGUGCUUUAUUGAACUUCUUUUCUCUACACAGUAGGAAUAAUGCCCACCAAGCAACAACUAAAUUCUCCAUACAACUCCACUCCAUUCUCGUAUUUAAUCACCUUCAGAAAUAGUUCCUAAGCUUGUAUAUGCUACUAAGAACAUUAGUCUUUAAAUAACUUAGUGCUGUGGUGGUGUGAGAUGAUUAGGUUGGCAAGGAUUUCUGUUGUGGUGUCAUCAUAAUUUUCAUUAGUACAGUGAAUUAUGACAGCUUGUUCUCUGCUCAAAUUGAUGUGAUUACUACUCUGAAACCCUGGCACAUCUCACUAACACCUGACAUCUGGAAGAGAAAGGUGGGAGGCAAUGCAAGCUCUCAAAGUUGCGGCAGGAUGCGCCCUGAUGGUCUCCUCAUUUGUUCCAGCAGCUGCUGCAGACAAAGGGGGCAUCCAGUGCUGAAGAUAAAAAAAGUCAUGCUGCCAGCCUGCCGUGCUUCAUACCUGGAAUUUAACAAUGGUGUCACCGAGAAUAAGGCAAGUUCAGAGUGGAAGUGAAAUUUUCUUUGCAUUACAAGAGAAAUUCCUUUCCCGCAGCGUUAAGCCUCUCACCAGCAGCUCGAAAUGCAGACCGUUGGCAAUGUUUUUUCUGUGCAGACAUAUAUAUUCCAGCACUCAUGGCUGGUGAUGGAUCCUUUCACGGUGAUCUUUCUCCCUGGGGAGUAAGCAAGCCCCACGCGCUGCCGGUGCUAUGGGUGUCCGACAGGAAAACCUGAUCUGCACUUCCCCCAUUAAGCUUCUAUUUCUAGCCCUGAAAAUUAUGCUGGGUGACAUGAGGC